rnacentral:pre_miRNA from 1 species
CUGCUGGUAUUCUCUGCGAUGAUAUUUUGAAAAAAGCUUAUCACCGGGUGAAAACUGGUAGA